GUACACGCUGUGACUAGCAUAUCAAUAAGCGGAGGAAAAGAAACUAACAGGAUUCCCUUAGUAACUGACGAGUGAGGCGGGAAGAGCUCAAAUUUGAAAUCUUCAAGGUUUUACCUUGACGAAUUGUAGUUUAAAGAAGUGUUUUCUGCUGAAGUUUUGGUAAAAGUUCUUUGGAAUAGGACAUCAUAGAGGGUGAGAAUCCCGUAUUUGACCAUUAUUUUCAGCUUUGUGAUACACUUUCAAAGAGUCGGAUUGUUUGGGAAUGCAGUCCAAAAUGGGUGGUAAAUUUCAUCUAAAGCUAAAUAUUGGCGAGAGACCGAUAGCGAACAAGUACCGUGAGGGAAAGAUGAAAAGAACUUUGAAAAGAGAGUUAAACAGUACGUGAAAUUGUCAAAAGGGAAGCGUUUGACACCAGUGUUGUUUUCUCGAAAAUCAAUUAAAAAUGGCUCGAUUUUGUAUUGUUGAGACCUUAAAAGCUCACUGUACAUUUUUCGUGUCUUUUUUAAUGCACUUUUCGUUUAACAAGAUCAACAUCAGUUUCUUUUGUUGUAAAAGGGUCAUUGGAAGGUGGCUUUCUUUUCGGAGAAAGUGUUUAUAGCCUUUGGCCUCUGCAAUCGGAGAGGACUGAGGUCUGCAGCGUAGACUCUUCGGGGUUAGAUACAUUUGUGCUAAGUUAUAGCUUUUUAUAGACAACUUGUUGACUAUAAUUAGUCUUGUAGCUUACUCGCUUAUGCUAUUUUACCUACGCUUAGGAUGUUGAUCUACAGAGCGAGAGU
rnacentral:rRNA from 1 species